rnacentral:lncRNA from 1 species
ACAGCACCCAUGUCACUCCCCUGAUGACAUGUGCAGCUGCCUGCGCCCUCCAUGUGAAGAACAGGUCCAGCAGGCUACACAGAGGUGCUCAGCCCUCACGCUUAGCACGCUUCCCGUCAUGUGUCCCUGCUGGAAGUCUAGUCGGUCUUUAUAUUUAUUGUGCCUUACAUAGGAAGAAGGGACUGAAUCUUUCCCUAUGAACAGUCAUCCAGAAAACAGGCUGUGGUGGCCACACACUUUGCAUCUUUCUUAUUUGAUUCUUUUAAAGAAGUGUGGGGAGGAAAACCUGUCAUCUUUGUUGUUUUACCAGAAUGAAGACAGCUCCUCCUGUUAGCAAAACCUAUACUUAGAGCAGCAGCAGAACGCUACCCAUUUUAGAAGGUAAUUCCCAGGUCUGUCCUCAGAAAGUUCCCCUUUUGGAUAGUCCAGAUGAAGAAAUGUCUCACUGUAUCCCUUCGUAGAUUCCUAACUCGGCCAUUUCUAAAUCUAAACCGAUAUCUUAAGUCAGAGGCAGUGAAGCUGUUCAAGAACAGUGUGAUUUGUGCCCUGUGACAGUCUGAACAGUGUGUGUGCAUGACAGACAGACAGACAGACUGACUAAGCAGAUGACAGGAAUGGCGUCAGCAGUUUAUGCCGUAACCACGCCCAGAGCAAAAAACCUACUCAGUUUUAUAAGCUCCUUUCCCAACCAAAAUGGGUUGUCCUCAUUCAAAAAACCUGUGACAUAGACCUUAGAAUUUUGCUCCUUUAGUGGUGAGCAUGGGACAUGGUUUGUUUUGGAGCGAGAAUGUUGAAAUGCUGAACUUAGCUAGCUUUAGGACCUGAAAGGCAGGCGGGGACUGCAGCAAGGCCCUGAAGUUCUCAGUGAGUCGCAUUCCCCUGAGCUGAACCUACCCUGCAGGCGGGAGAGCUGAGAUCACAUGAUCUGUAAGCUGCUAAUACAUAAAGAGAGAUAAUGUAUAAGCUCAUGAAUUGAGCGCACGAAGAGUGACCCUCAUGCUGCACAUAGACUUCGUCUUUGUUGGAAGGUGGACUGGAUAGCUAAGAGCUAGCUUCCCAAUGGCAUUCCAAUUUGUGUACGCCUUGGGCCGGUGCCUCUGGGCACUAAUGUUCAUCGAUACACAGUCUCUGAAGACCGGGGCACAUGCCCGGAGCCUGCAGCACGGCACUUAAAUGAGCCUCAGAAAUGUCCCUUCCAGCUCACGAAGUCAGUUCACUCACGCUCUGUUGACCUGUACUUGAGCCCAGCACUGUCAUUCAGAAGGGGAGGCUAAUGUGACAAUUCUUCCUUUAAUUCUUUUUGUUAACGUUAGUGCUAAAAGGCUGUGAUAAGUUAGAACAAGCCUCAGGAAAUAGCCUCUUACCUAUUAGCGGAGUACCUGAAAAAUAUCCAUCUGUAGGGUCCAGUUUUCCUACAUACAUCUUUGAUCACAGUAUGCUAAGGGGAAAAAAUUAGGACACAAAACUGGCAUUUUAUGUUUCCUUGGAGUCCUUGGCAGAUACUGACACUGAUGUGGGUAGCCGUCCCUCACGGUGUCUCGAGAGGAAAGCUACGUGUUUACACUGUCUGUUCUGCGCAGUCUCUCAGCUAAGAUGAUAUCCUGGAUCUUUUUUUAAUGUACAAAACCCUGUAGAACCAGUGCUUUGGCUGCUUUCUAUCCUAGCAGAGAGGACCUUGGUCCUCUCUACUUAGAAAGCUACUUCAGAAGCUAUUGGGAAGUCAAGGUUUGUGUCUUCUCUACUGAGGUCUCAGAAAGGGAGAGAGCAUCUCUGGGAGCCGGGCCUCGGGCAGGAAGUACCCAGAGCCUCAUGUGUGGCCCAGCAGCCUUCGCCUCUAUAGCAGUGAGCUCAACAGUCUGGCCUGCCACCUCCCUCAGGGCAUCAUUGCUUACUGCAAAGCACACCUUCACCAUGCUCCAGCCAGACAGCUCCAGUCUCGCCAACAAGUGCCAAAAGUCUGAGGAACACAGGGGAUCUCUUCUCGAAAGCCCCAUCAAGUAGUGCCAUCUUGGGGCUUCCCAGGACUUCCAGUAUAGGUGGUUACGAUCACAAGAAACCUCCAGGCAAGGGUCCAUUCAGUCUGUACAUUGGUAGGGACACGAGAGGUGGGAUUGCCAUCUGGGCCUCAGUGGCUUGUCUCCAACCAAAUUAUUGGACUUCAGAAGCCAUCCCUCUGCUGUGCUUGACUUCAGACUCAGUUGCUGCACCUUGGUCAUGAUCUGAGUACAAAAGCUGUACCAGUUUCCCAUGCUCAGACCCUCUGUCUGUCUGUCCUCGUGAUACUGAAGUGUCUCCACUCGCCCAGCGGCUUCUCUGUGGAAGUGGCUUCUCUCCAGGCUGCUAAUCUGUUUUUUCCGGGCGGUACUAGGACAGCAUCCUGAGAAACGGGACCAGUUCUCCACCCGCUCUGACUGCUCAGGAGGCCUGGGUCCCGUUUACCCUGUCACUCUUUACUGGAAGGGAGGUUGCUCAGUCACCAGGUCGCUCACUUUCCAUUCAGAGACGCUUUGCUCUGCUUGUGUGCCGCGAGUUUCUGUCUCCAGAAAAGUGUAACUUUGCCCUUUUUCUGCAUGACGCACGUACCCAUGUCGCGCACUAAGUAGUUUAAAUGAGGUAAAGGAAAACGCAGAGCACAUCUUGCUUGCCUCUUAGAGUUUCCUCCCUAAAUUGAAGUCCAUAGGCUAAUAUAUUAUUUUGUAGUAUCUCAGACUUUGCAUAAAUACUAUUAUUUUUGUAUGGAAUUUUUUAUAGAAGAGCUAUUUCUGUAUACUUAUUUGUGGUUUUUGAAAUGCCUUCCAGUAGGUAACCGACAAGUCUUAAGCAGUGUCCACUAAGGGUAGCUCAGGGACCACCUACCCAGAAUAGGCAGGGAAUUUAAAUUUUCUUACUCCCUGUACCCACUCCAGACAGAAGCUCAGGUUGUGUCUAGGAAGCAGUUUUAAUAAGCUCUGAGUGAUUUUCUUCAUCAACCCACACAUAUUUGUCCAUGCUGUAAGAGAAGACAUCUGGAAUGAGUAUGUUGAGCUGGAGAAUAAUUGUAUCAUAUACUCUGUGAUUUGAGAUACAAAAUAAAGAAAUAAUUUAAAAU